ensembl:lncRNA
UAGCUGUUUAAGAGCAACUGAUGAAGCAGAAGUGAGUGUGUGGUGUGACCUCCAGUCGCUCUUCAAUCUGAAUAUUAGAUUUCAGAUGUGCUGCUUUCACACAGAUAUGUGGAGAUAUGAUGAGAAGGGAUGCUUUCGUUAACAGCUGAACAUGAUAAUGUCAUUUCUGAGUUACUCAGUGCUAACACGUCACAGAUGCUGGAGAAGCUCAGUCGUCGGAGACACAGGCCAUGGACCUCCCGCACUGAGAGAGAAACAGCAUCAAAUCUGGAGAAAAUGUCAGAUCCUUCAGUGUCUGUUUCUGCCACGUAAUUAAAAAAAGUGAAAGCAGAUGUUGAUUUAUACAACGAUGAAAACAGAAGUAGCUGCCUAACAUGCCUAACUUUGUGAUUUUUUUUUUUUUUUUUU